UUUGGCGAUUUCUACUCCAAGACCACGCAUGCCUGCAAUAAGGACGUUGGCAGUGCCCAUCCGGUGCAUCGCCUCAUGACCCAGAACAUACCUGUACAUGUAAAAGGACGAUUUUAACUCAGAGAUCAGAAGACACCUGACUGUACUACAACCGAGCAGGCCAAACAAGAAACAGAAAAAAAUCUACAGUAUUCUGGUCAAAGAUCCCCUCCAGACAUAUACAACUGUAAAGGAUAAUGUGCGUCAAAUGUAUUUUUUUUUUUAAAAAAGUCUCUAUUAAAAUGUUUGUAAUAACAACUACUCCUAAGUCAUUAAGUGGCUCCAAACUAUUUGUGACAUUUAGCAAUAAAGAGAUCAGUCCCCUCAUGGGCGCCUGGCCAAGGGCACCAAAAUGUCCAGAAACAGCUUUGAUCAAACCCUCAUUUGAUUCAGUUUUAAUGCUUUAAUGUACCUACAAUCAUGAUUUGUCACAAAUCAUGAUUGUAGGUACAUGCCUUGAACUCAGACCAACUUUCCUCCUUCAGCAGAUGAAUGUGAAAACAGCCCUCUAGUGUCAGAUAAACACUCAAACACUUUGAGU